UGGCAUAUAGAAGUUCCCAUGCUAGGAACUGAAUCAGAGCUACAGCUGCCAGACUACACCACAGCCAUAGCAACGUGGGAUCAGAGACAUAUCUGUGACCUACACCACAGCUCAUAGCAAUGUCAUAUCCUUAACCCACUGAGUGAGGCCAGGAAUCGAACCCAUCAGCAGGUGCAACCUCCUUUCCACAGAUGAGAAUAUGACUUGUCCAUAGUGACACCGCUGGAAAAGAAUUCAAACUAAGGUCCAUUCUUUACUGCAUAUAUAUAGCUCUCCUGCCAAGAUAUUGCUUGAGAUCUAGAACUAAGAAAUUACGUCUUAUUCUAAGUCCUUUUUACUUAAGUUGGCUUUCACAAUCCCUCACAUCCUAAAAUUUUAUGACUAUGUAUACUUAAGUAUAAACCUAAUCCUAUAGACAAAAAUACUUAAUUUUUUCAUAAUUUUUAUGAACUUCCAUAUGCUGCAGGUGCAGCCAUAGAAAAGGAAAAAGGAAAAAAAAGGAGAUGUGGAACACAUAUACAACGGAAUAUAACUCAGCCAUAAAAAAGAGCAAAAUAAUGCCAUCUGCAGGAACAUGGAUGCAACCAGAAUUUCUCAUACUAAGUGAAGUAGGUCAGAAAGAGAAAGAUAAACACCAUAUGAUAUCACUUAUAUGUGGAAUCUAAAAUACGGCACAAAAUGAACCUAUACAAAACAGAAACAGACUCAGACAUGGAGAACAGAUUUGUGGUUACCAAGGGGGAGGGAGUGGGAUGGACUGAGAGUUUGGGGUUAGUAGAUGCAAACUAUUACAUUUAGAAUGGAUAGAUAAUGAGGUCCUACUAUACAGCACAGGGAACUGUGUGCAAUCUUGUAGGAUAGACCAUGAUGGGGAAUGACAUGAGAAAAACAAUGUGUGUGUGUGUGUAUAAAUGACUGGGUCACUUUGCUGUACAGCAGAAGUUGGCACAACAUUGUGAGUCAACUGUACUUUAAAUUUUUUUUUAUUUAAAAAAAGAAUGUUGUUGAAACAAAGCAUAAAGCUGAGUGCUCUAGAGACAAAAGGGAAAGCAAAACACUGAUCUAGCCUAAGACAGUUUAUGAUGAAGGGAAGAAAACUUAUACAGAAUGAAAAUUAUAUGAUAGAAGGUACGAAAAAUGCUCUAAAACCCAAGCACAUAUAUAGCAAAACACACAAAUGCACACAGACAAGCAUAUACCAGAAAAUAAUAAGCUAUUCUAAAUGAUUGAAUAAAAAUAGUGGGAAUUCAAGCUUAUUUGGCCUUUUCUUUUACAAUUCAUAGGCCCACAGAUGGAAAGUCUGAAUAAGAAGUGACCAAGUUAGCCUUAAUUGCAUUUCUUGUUAACUUGACCAGUUUGAUGACUAAUCCAUCUCUAAACUAGAUGGUUUUAUAGGUACACAUUUAGGUUAUCCUACGCCACAUUAAAAAUGCUAUUAAGUUGAUUAAGACUAAACUCAUUUUCAGGAGCCAUUGCAAACAAUUUUCCAUGCUUGAUGUGUACUUGCAAAGGGAAUCUGUGGCAGGUAUUAAUUACACUGCAAGAAAAGCUCAAAAGAAAGUUAGGUGAAUACCAGCAAUGCUGCAGGUUGUAAAGUAAACACUGUACUAGAGUCUUAUAACUAGUGGCAAAUCAAGGAAAAAUGGCCUCAUGAUCUUCUUUAGCUAAUCAGGUCCUCUUUAAUAUAUAAUGGGAUCACGUGUGAAAUUAGAGGUGAAAGGUUGGAGACAAUAUUUUAAAGAGUCUCAAAAAAAAAAAACUUUUAAAGGUUUUCAAGAUUUGGCUUCAUUAGGUUGAACAAAAGGAAAGUGACUCAUUUUUGCCUAAAUGAGCCCAGCUGAAGGAGAAUAUUUAACAAUUUUCACAUAUGUGGAGACAAGUUGAAUGCUUAAUCAUGAGUCAUCCACAGGAAAGAGCAAGGCAUACAUUCCUCCUGACUCUGCCACUCACUCUGCAACCUGGCUCCUACUCCAUCUGGCAAAGGCAAAUUCUAGCCCGCCCUUUCCGUAAGCCCUGUCCUGACUCUGCCACUCACUCUGCAACCUGGCUCCUACUCCAUCUGGCAAAGGCAAAUUCUAGCCCGCCCUUUCCGUAAGCCCUGUGUAGUUCUUCUCAGUCUCCAUCAUUCCUUCCAUCCUUCUUCCUUAACCUAUUUGUAGAGGACGAUCAUGUUCCUUCCUUUCCUAUUCUACAAGUCCUUCGGCUGCUUUUAGCUUUUGUCUGGGUUUCAACAGUCAGAGCUAUGCUGUGACAUUUAAAUCUGAAUGGAUAGCUCCUUAGCUCUUGAAUUCUCUGUCUGAAUUUUUGAUUCUCUACAUAAAAAUUCCAUAAUCUGAAGUGAAUUCAGAUUCAAUGGGCCAGAAACGGGAUCCAUUCUCACAGCUUCCUACCCUCUGAUCCCCCUGGGUUUCCCACAGCAGCUAUCACCCACGCUGGAAACAUCAAGAUUUGUCAACACUUUGAGGAUAAAACACUCAUAUGAGUCAUCUUCUGCCACCACUCCAAAAUCCCAGCCUUCCUAUUUAUCCAAUUUAGGGCCUCUUACCUACUCUAUCACAAGAGAUUUUUAUUUUGUUUUCUUAUCUCUAGUGUUUCAUAUGUCCAGUCUACCCUUUACACUCCCAUCACGUGUAUACCUGAAAAUAAAGGUAUGUUGUUCAUUUCCCAGAUGGUAAACCUCCCAAGGAUCCCAGGCAUCUAUAGUUCUCAGCUUUCUUUUUUUUUAAUUUUAUUUAAAAAAAAAAUUUUUUUUUUGGCUGCGCCUAUGGAAUGCAUAAGUUCUCAGGCCAGGGAUCCAACCUGUACCACACCAGUGGCCCAAACCAUAGCAGUGAUGAUGCUAGAUCCUUAACCCACAAGGCCACCAGGGAACUCCUAUACCUCUAAGCUUUUAAAAGUUAGAAUUGAGAUUCUCAAUAUCCUAGUCUUGAAUUCCUAUGUUUUUGCCAUCUUAUCUGCGGCAAGCAAACAGAACUUAAUUUAAUUUUCACGUGACUCUAACAUUUUUUACUUUGUCUAAUAUUUGCUCAAAUCGUUCUGUCAGGCUGAAAUGCCAUUUCCUCAUCUUUACCUCUUGAAAUCGUAUUUAGAAUAAAAUUUUUUCAUAAACAAAGCUGAAAAAUGUUUUCUGGCCCAUUCUGGAAUCAAGGACAACAUUUAGACAAAAUUCACAAUGAAAUAUCCAAAACAGAAAAUCUAAACUAAGACCAACCUAACAAAGGAUUAAUGCUUUAAUUGUAGUAAUUCGGUGGCAAAUAAAGAUGAAAAGCAUCACAAAUAGGUUUCAGCACAAGUCUUAGAAGGGCCUUUGAAAUUGAGAGAUGAGCCAGACAAGACGUUAAACUGCUGUGGAUCAUUUUUCUGACACUACGUACUGUGUGUUAAAAUCUCUUCCUAUUGAUUGACUGUGUUACUACGGCCUUAGAAAAUUACAAAAAUUUAAACAAAAUAAUUCCCUUUUUUUCUACCACUCUAAAAUGAUCUCACAAGGAAAUCUAUUCAUGGAUACAUCAUCCAUUUGUUCAUUUAUUUGACAUGAAUCAAAUAGCAUUCCUGUUUGAGAUCAAAUUGUGGAUAAAAAUGAUGGGCUGGUAAAAACCAGAAUCUGAUAAAUGCCGUAAAAAUUGUGUCAUUGACGUUUAAAAGAGAAAGAUCAGUUAUGUAAGCUAAAGUAGUCAGAUAAGCACCAGGGAAAAGGGAACUUUUGAAAUCAAUUCUGAAGAAUGUAUGGUACUUCAAACAAAUAACAAGUUGACAAAUAAAAAGACUGAAAAAAACUCCCCAAAUGAAGUGGAGAAUGUUGGGAUUGUUUGAACAAUGCUUAAAUUCCAACUUAGUAGAGUGGAAAGCAACAUGAAGGAGUAACAGUAAAUACCUGAGAUGAGGAUCUUGGUCCAGCGAUCAUGGAAGGCCUUGAAUGUCAGAUUAAGCAUAGCUUGGACCCCUUUAGCCCAUCAAUGGGGUUUGUGCUUUAGGAGAUGAGUCUGGGAGCAUUUUAGAGGUUAGAGUUUUGGAAUAUAGGGAAUCAUUGAAGGAAAGAUAAAAUGAGGGAUAGCCAAAUAAAGGAAAGUACAUAAGCGAUAUACGACAUAUUCAGUUUUCAGAUCUUGGCAAAUACUUGACUACAUUGAUAAGGUAGAAAGUGAGAGGCCAGAAAAACUGUGAUGUUUCUAACAUUGGUCAAAAGGAGACUGGGGUACCACCAGCAGAAGUCAGAAAAGGAGAGAGAGGGCCAAGUUUAUGGAAAGAAACAUUUUUCCUUGAAAUGCUUUAUGGUGGUGCAAAAUGAGCUACUCGGCUUAAACGGUCCUCCUAGUGGCCCCAAACAUUAAACCUGGUUUCUUCCUACCACUCACUACAAGAGCUUGGAUACUCACACUGGCCCUCCCUCUUGCCUGCUACAGUAUUUUUGCAGCAUGACACCUCAUUCUUCCUAUUCUAGAACUGUUCACUCUGAGUCUGGAAAACUUAAAUCAAACUAGAUGUUUCUAAAGGAGAGGGUAAAACCACAUCAUUGACACAGGGAAUGAAUUCUUUGGGGGUCCUGAAAAGAAGCUUUACCAUUUGACCCAACCCCACAUUAUUCCAAGAGUUACUGAGUCAGGAGAUGAGAGGGAACACCCAUGAGUUCACCUGGAUCAACCAAGUCUUGUAGCUGAAAAAAAGAGGUUUUUAAACAUAUAUCAAAAGCUCUUAAAUGUUUCUAAUUGUGACCUUCUUGCCAAUAAAUUGGAUCAACUAUUCUGCAUUAUCCAUGGUUUUCUUUCUUAAACUAGUUUAUACANAAAAAAAAAAAAAAAAAAAAAAAAAAAA
rnacentral:lncRNA from 1 species